rnacentral:rRNA from 1 species
AGUGAACGCUGGCGGUAGGCCUAACACAUGCAAGUCGAACGGCAGCACAGUAAGAGCUUGCUCUUACGGGUGGCGAGUGGCGGACGGGUGAGGAAUACAUCGGAAUCUACUUUUUCGUGGGGGAUAACGUAGGGAAACUUACGCUAAUACCGCAUACGACCUACGGGUGAAAGCAGGGGAUCUUCGGACCUUGCGCGAUUGAAUGAGCCGAUGUCGGAUUAGCUAGUUGGCGGGGUAAAGGCCCACCAAGGCGACGAUCCGUAGCUGGUCUGAGAGGAUGGUCAGCCGCACUGGAACUGAGACACGGUCCCGGCGCCUACGGGAGGGAGCAGUGGGGAAUACUGGACAAUGGGCGCAAGCCUGAUCCAGCCAUACCGCGUGGGUGGAAGAGGCCUUCGGGUUGGAAAGCCCUUUUGUUGGGAAAGAAAAGCAGCAGGUUAAUACCCCGCUGUUCUGACGGUACCCAAAGAAUAAGCACCGGCUAACUUCGUG